rnacentral:rRNA from 1 species
UGAAAUCUCGAAGCUCAACUUCGAAACUGCGUCUGAAACUGCUAGUCUAGAGUGUCGGAGGGGGAAGGGGAAUUUCACGUGUAGGGGUAAAAUCCGUAGAGAUGUGAAGGAACACCGGGGGCGAAGGCGCCUUCCUGGACGACUACUGACGCUGAGGCGCGAAAGCGUGGGGAGCAAACAGGAUUAAAUACCCUGGUAGUCCACACCAUAAACAAUGAACACUAGUUAUUGGGGGUAUUGACUCCCUCAGUGACGCAGCUAACGCAUUAAG